rnacentral:rRNA from 1 species
AACGAACGCUGGCGGCAUGCCUAACACAUGCAAGUCGAACGAGACCGUCGGGUCUAGUUGCGCACGGCUGCGUAACGCGUGGGAACCUGCCCGUAGGUUCCGAAUAACUCCCCGAAGGGUGUGCUAAUACCGGAUAAUGUCUUCGGAGCAAAGAUUUAUCGCCUUUGGAUGGGCCCGCGUUGGAUUAGCUGGUUGGUAGGGUAAAAGCAUACCAAGGAGACGAUGCCUAGCUGGUGUGAGAGGAUGCUCAUCCACAAUGGGACUGCGACACGGCCCAGACCGCUACGGGAGGGAGCAGUGGGGAAUAUUGGACAAUGGGCGAAAGCCUGAUAAAGCCAUGCCGGGGGAGACAUGCAGGGGGUAGGGUUGUAAAGCUCCUUUAGACGAAAUGAUAAUGACAGUAACGGGAGAAUAAGCACCGGCUAACUACGUG